UUGCAGAUGGUGUUCACAGGGAAACCUUUGAAGCCGUGGGGCUGGUCUGCGCAAUGCCAGACCCUCGCCAUAUUGCAA
rfam:Pelodictyon phaeoclathratiforme BT-1, complete genome.